UACAGAGGUCUCAAGCGUUGUUCGGAUUCAUUGGGCGUAAAGGGUGCGUAGGCGGCGCGGUAAGUCGGGUGUGAAAUCUCGGGGCUUAACUCCGAAACUGCAUUCGAUACUGCCGUGCUUGAGGACUGGAGAGGAGACUGGAAUUUACGGUGUAGCGGUGAAAUGCGUAGAUAUCGGGAGGAACACCAGUGGCGAAGGCGGCUUCCUGGACCAGUACUGACGCUGAGGCGCGAAAGCUAGGGGAGCAAACAGG
rnacentral:rRNA from 1 species